GCCGGGCGCAGUGGCUCACACCUGUAAUCCCAGCAGCUCGGAGGCCGACACAGGAGGAUUGAGUUCAAAACCAGCCUCAUCAAUGGCAAAGUGCAAAGCAACUCUGUGAGACCCUGUCUCUA
rnacentral:sRNA from 1 species